CCCUUAGAUGUUCUGGGCUGCACGCGCGCUACACUGAAGCUAUCAACACGUUUUCCCUCCCUGAGAAGGGCGGGUAACCUUUUGAAUCAGCUUCGUGGUAGGGAUCGGGGCUUGCAAUUGUUCCCCGUGAACCAGGAAUUCCUAGUAGACGCGAGUCAUAAGCUCGCAUCGAUUAAGUCCCUGCCCUUUGUACACACCGCCCGUCGCUACUACCGAUUGAACGUUUUAGUGAGGCAUUUGGACCGACGCAACUCAGUUUAACCGCUGGUUUGUGUUGGAAAGACUUCCAAACUUGAGCGUUUAGAGGAAGUAAAAGUCGUAACA
rnacentral:rRNA from 1 species